GGACGGCUCAUAAUGUCAGGAGUGGAAGGGUUGUAAAACCACAGGAGGCUGUUGGGGAGGACGGCUCAUAAUGUCAGGAGUGGAAGGGUUGUAAAACAGAAGGGAACUAUGUGUUUGAUACCAGUCACUUCACCACAUUCCUCCCAUCACUAUGAGCCCUUCCUCCCCAAUUAAUAAGGUGCCCCCAGUCGCAUGUGGUGUGGUACAAAAUACUAUAUGUACCGUGUUAGUGGUGUUAUAUAAAUACUAUAUGUACCGUGGCUGUGUAAUUAGUGAAUCAUUUGGAUAUACUGUAUGUAGUAGAAAAUACUAAUAGUACCGUGUUAGUGGUGAUAUAUAAAUACUAUAUGUACAAAUAAUUAAAAAAAAUAAUUGUAAGGAUAAUUAUCAGCUUUGGCUAGAAGAGCCACACUAAUGUCGGGAUUCAAUCCCAUGGUGCUUUGUCAACAACGCACCAUUUAAACCUUUCCGAUUGAACCAACAUGCAGCGAGGAAUGUGGUCUCCCCGACAGGUGCGGACUUUGCCUAUGAAUGACGUUAAUGGCGUUGUUGACGAAGCGCAGUCAGAUUGAAUCGGGGACUAACAGUGAUCUGGUUUAGUACAGGUGGACUUUAAUUAAAGGGGCAAUGCAGGAUUCAAAAGAACAACAAAGUGUUCUCCGUUAUCAUCCAAUCCCAGAUCAGGAUUAUUUAUUUAUUAGUUAUCAUUCGCUAAGAAGUCAAAAAACAGAUGUGGUCCGACCAAUCCCAGAUCAGGAUUAUUUACAUACAUAGUUUGUGAGGCACUAAUAUGGAUUUACAUAUUCCAUUACCAGGCACUUUUUAUCCACAUCAACUUUCAGUCAGUCAGUCAUUUUUACAUAUGGGGAGGCCCCAGGAAUCAAACCCACAAUCCUGGUGUUGUAAAUGCUCUACCAACUGAACCACAGAGGACAGGCUCUACCAACUGAGUCCACAGAGGACAGGUUCUACCAGCUGAGUCACAGAGGACAGGUUCUACCAACUGAACCACAGAGGACAGGUUCUACCAACUGAGCGACAGAGGACAGGCUCUACCAACUGAGCCACAGAGGACAGGCUCUACCAACUGAGUUACAGAGGACAGGUUCUACCAACUGAGCCACAGAGGACAGGUUCUACCAACUGAGUCACAGAGGACAGGUUAUACCAACUGAACCCACAGAGGACAGGUUCUACCAACUGAGCGACAGAGGACAGGCUCUACCAACUGAACCACAGAGGACAGGUUCUACCAACUGAGUCACAGAUGACAGGUUCUACCAACUGAGUUACAGAGGACAGGUUCUACCAACUGAGUCACAGAGGACAGGUUCUACCAACUGAGUCACAGAGGACAGGUUCUACCAACUGAGUUACAGAGGACAGGUUCUACCAACUGAGUCCACAGAGGACAGGUUCUACCAUAGAACUACAUUUUUAGAUAUGCUAAUAUCUCCUCUCACUUUUUCUUUCCCUCCCUCCAACUGUCUCCCCCUCUUUUUCUCUCCCUCUCUCCCACACCUCUCUCGGUCUCUUUCUCUCCCACUAUCCUCCCCUUUCUCUCUCCCUCUCUCCCACACCUCUCUCAGUCUCUUUCUCUCCCACUAUCCCCCCCUCUCUCCCC
ensembl:lncRNA